GUAACUCUUCAGAUAGUAGUAAUCCUAUUCCUAUUCAGUUUUGUACUUCAGAAAGGAAUGUUGUUCCUAUUAAUUAUGAUAAGGAAUUGAUUUUUGAAAUUAUGUGAGAAACAAGAACAAGACUGGAAUUACCAAUAGUGAAUUUAUUUUAUAUUUAAUAUAGAUGUAUUUUUGUAUAAAGAAAAGAAAAGAUCCAAAAAAACAUCUUUAUUUGUGAACGAACAAAAAACGCAUUUUAAAAGAAAAUUCAUCAUUGAGGAAUACGCGUCAGAAGACAUUGAGGAAAUCCCGCCAAAAAGCAAGAAAACUCAAUCUACUCAAGUGGAAAAUACGUGCCAUUCAGUCGGAGUACAAACCGAUAAUUUUGCAAAUUGUAAAUUUUUAUUAAUUGAAUUUUUUUCAAAUAUAUAUUUUGACACUUUUAAACUAAAUGUUAUUUCAUUUUUCAGUUCGUCCGAUGGACAAAGUACAAAUGAUGCAAUCUUUAAUGAAUAUCGAAAAAUUCAUUAAAUUUUAUAUAAAUAA